GGCGAUCCUGAAACCCGAGUCUGNGCUGGCUGGUGGACUGAGGUAAAUAUAUUCAUGUUACUUAUUUAUUAAUAGAUUUGAAAUAGAAACUAAAUCAAGGAAGUGCCACCAGGUCAUGUGAUCAUGUGUAUCUGCUGUGUUCGUUCACUCUCUUCUGCUCAGGCACAGAAACCCAGUCUGCAGGGCCGCCACCUCACGGAGUCUCUACAUGCUCCUGCAGGUGGUUGGGAUUUCCAGUGUGCUGACUGGGAGGAAGACGUUUGCUAGUGAAAUUAUUCCUGCUGUUAGCACACUGGCUUUCGACACAGCCCAGGAAGUGAGGACCCAUGCCCGAGCCGCUUUGCGGUAUCUGGGCAGCCAUAAGAAGGCUGAGAGCACUGUGGAGAAAUUUGUGAAUUUAAAAGAUCAAUCAGCAGUUUCGCCGACUGAAGGGUCUAGAGCCAGCAUUGAACGAGGCCUCGGGGAACUCCCUACUUUGGAGUGUUACCUUUAA
rnacentral:lncRNA from 1 species